AUGAUCGAAUGUUGUUCCUGGCCAAUCUGGUUCGCUCUACAAAAGCUCAGAGGGGCUUCAGGAGGGCUCUGGCUUAUGUGGAAUGACGAUCUUAAGGUUUCUGUUCGUAGUUCUUCCUUCCACUUUAUCUUACCGGAUGUAGUUCAUCUAGCCUCGGGGGUUCACUUUUGUUUGGUUUGUAUAUAUGGUGACCCCUACCAUAGGCAGACUAGUGACAUUUGGAAUCAGAUCUCCACUUUUGUGUAUGAUAACUUUGGCAAACCCAUGAUCUGUAUGGGUGAUCUUAACGAUAUUUUGUAUGAUACGGAUGGUUGCAAUGGUACUGUUAAUUAUUAUCGUUUGUCUGCUUUUCGUGCUAUGAUUAAAAAUUGUGGCCUCUUUGACAUUGGUUUUAGUGGUCCUGCUUACACUUGGCGUAAUAGGCAGCACACGAUUAGGCCUAUUUACAGACGUUUAGAUCGUUGUCUUGUUAAUGCAGAUUGG
rnacentral:rRNA from 1 species